rnacentral:rRNA from 1 species
UACGGGGGGGGCAAGCGUUGUUCGGAAUUACUGGGCGUAAAGGGCUCGUAGGUGGCCAACUAAGUCAGACGUGAAAUCCCUCGGCUUAACCGGGGAACUGCAUCUGAUACUGGAUGGCUUGAGUUUGGGAGAGGGAUGCGGAAUUCCAGGUGUAGCGGUGAAAUGCGUAGAUAUCUGGAGGAAUACCGGUGGCGAAGGCGGCAUCCUGGACCGACAUUGACGCUGAAAGCCGAAAGCUAGGGGAGCAAACGGG